UCGCGGCUUCUCAACGCCGGUAGAAAUACCGGUACCCCGCAAGGGGGUGGAGUCGAGGUGCUGCAUGGCUGUCGUCAGCUCGUGUCGUGAGAUGUUGGGUUAAGUCCCGCAACGAGCGCAACCCUUGUCCUGUGUUGCCAUGUCGAAAGACGGAACUCGCAGGAGACCGCCAGGGAUAACCUGGAGGAAGGUGGGGAUGACGUAGACCUUGGACC
rnacentral:misc_RNA from 1 species